CAGCCGCCGCGGGAAUACGUAGGUGGCAAGCGUUGUCCGGAAUUAUUGGGCGUAAAGGGCUCGCAGGCGGUUUCUUAAGUCUGAUGUGAAAGCCCCCGGCUCAACCGGGGAGGGUCAUUGGAAACUGGGAAACUUGAGUGCAGAAGAGGAGAGUGGAAUUCCACGUGUAGCGGUGAAAUGCGUAGGGAUGUGGAGGAACACCAGUGGCGAAGGCGACUCUCUGGUCUGUAACUGACGCUGAGGAGCGAAAGCGUGGGGAGCGAACAGGAUUAGAUACCCCCGUAGUCCCUGUCUCUUAUAA
rnacentral:rRNA from 1 species